CUUAGUAUCUGUGUUCGGCUGGUGCACUCGCGGCCGGGACCGCUUUCUCAGCUAGACAUCGGAGUCUACGUAUGGGGGCCGAGUUGGGCCCUAACUUACGAAGACUUUGUUCAAGUUGAGACUUGACGAGUGGAGACUUGUCGAACGGAGCAUGCAUAAUGUAGUUAGGAGAUCGGUCUUAAGCCGACCCAUUGGAGUAGCCCGACUUUGGGGCGA
rnacentral:lncRNA from 1 species